AGGAGGAGAUACUCUAGAUAAUUUUUUGUCUAAGAUUAAAUAAGAAAACAGAAUGUUGGCUUCUACAAAGCGACAUAAUUAGAGACAAAAAUGGAUGGAAAAUGUUUAGAAAUUCUAAAUAUUAUAACAAGUAAUUUUCCAUUUUUACUGAUAGACAGAAAGUUUACUCAACCUUUGGUCUUUAUCUGUAUCCUGUAUAUUUAAACUGCACCCACAUUAGAAAUGUUUGAACAUUAUGCUGUUCUUUAAGCUUUAAGGCCUGUGAUGGUCGCUCUUUCUUUAUUCACACAGCAUCUAAGCAACAUGUUGAGGAUCAAAGGACUGACAGUGUGUCAUAAAUAUGAGAACAUGUUCUCUUGGGAUUUACAUUAAAGUCAUAAACACUAACUACAACAUUCUUAUUCUUAUUAAGAUGUUAAAGCUCCAUUAUAUCAGCAUCUUAUUAAACCAGACUGCAUCAUCCAGAUUGUUUCAUCAACUAAAUCGUAAGAAACUAAUAUUUUGUGAUUGUGCUGUUUUAACAUUAGUAGGAAAUGCCUCAUGUCUUCCGAAAGCCUAAACACUGUCAUGCAAAUCAAACCCCUUCAUAAAUGAUUAGAGGUGUUCUCAGGAGAAGUGAGGAUCUGGGUUCAGGUUCAGAUCAAACCAUGUUCUCUACACUUCUACUCUUGCUGUUAACAGCUACAUCUGGUAUUAAAUGUAUUGAACUGGUUCAGCCUGCAGUCAUGCUUGUUAAGCCUGGAGAAUCAUUUUCAGUCCCCUGUAAGAUCACUGGAUACUCAGCCACUAGUCAAUGUACUAACUGGAUACGACAAUCAGGACAAAAACUGGAAUUGAUCGGCUGGUACUGCAGCUCCAGUGAUACUGGCAGCAGUGAUUCACUAAAGGACAAGAACCGUUUCUCAGCUGAUGCCUCCACCAACACUGUAACUUUACACGGGCAAAACUUUCAGACUGAAGACACAGCUGUGUAUUACUGCGCUCGUAACUCACAGUGAGACAGAUCAACAAAAGACGCUGUACAAAAACAUCCAGUACAGAAGUCUGUUAGAGGCAGAAACUGUGUCUUACUUCAAUGUUUCACCUUCUGAGUUUCUCAGGAGAGUGAGAAGAUGACAUCAGCUAACUUUCUGUCAGUUGAUUGGAUGAGAUUGUAGUGUGAAAUUGUGGAACUACAAUUAGAUGUUAAAUGUAUAACUUUUAAAUCUACUAAAGAAACCCUGACAUCACAACAUCACAUUAUAUUUGAGUUAUGAGUAAGAUUGAUUAGGCCAUAUUACUUUUCUGAAGUCCACUAAAUAAUUGUUCCUUAUCAUAGGCUUUAUUUUGAUUCGUAUUAAAAUUGUUAAACAGAAUUUAUUCUUUUAAAGUGUCAUAUAAAUAAAACUAUUAACAUUUAUUUUUAUUUAGAACUUUGCCUUGCUGUGGAUCUUGAGGUUUUAUGAAGCUUGAAUGC